GGUCACUGUAAAAAUACAAUACAAUAUGGUUAGCAAUAAUCUCAUAUUUAUAAUUGUGAUCAAACAGACUUUAGGUGUAACUCAUGGAUGUCCGUUUUUAAUCUGUAAUACACCAAUCACUGGUGAUGUUGCACAACAAGCUCUAACUUCAUUGGAGGAGGAAUCUGAGCUUGGUGUCAUUUUAAUUGCAUUGCUUAAAACAUCUGAUGUUAAUUGACUACAAUGCUCUCUGCAAAACCAUAUGCAGCACCAGAAGAUAAUGGCACCUGAGGCUGUCAGGAUUUCCUCAGCCAUCUUCCUACGUAGUGCCUCCAUAUUGGUCACAGAAGUAUUGAUGUCCAACUGGGAUGGAACUUUUGGGAAACUAGAGACAACCUCCUUUGCCAUUUUUGAACAAUAGUUGUAGUGAAAUGAAGGAAAUAAUUAUAUUUAGUGUCUCAACUUUAAUGCUUACCAUUUGAGCAGAAAAUACCUGCAUGACAAGUACUCCACAGCUAUGUGAAUCCUGCUGCCUUGUAAAUACCUUUGGCAGACUCCGCUGACACACAUCAUCUCGGUUUCCAGACAGAAUCACACCAGCAGAAAAAUGAUUCAUGAGCCACUUGUGAGGUUGCAGAGUUUUGAACUCUGAGUGAUGGAGGGUGUACCUAGCCUUUUUUGCUGCUGAUGGUACAACAGCAACCACCACUUCACAAUCGUUUUUGCUCCAAAGGUCCAUUGCUGUGUCUGGAAUCAUCUGGAUGGUAUUGGUGCUGAUCUGUGUAACUUCUGGACUUUGUGAUGGCUGUGGCAGUACUUCAGAAAACCGGCUAAGAUCCCCAAGAAGAACUCCACUCCACAGCGGGAAGAUACUCAUGUAGUUGUUCAUGAGGAAGUCGACGAGCUCUGGACAGAAAAAGAUCCAGGGCAGUUUUGGCUGCAUUCACCACGUCGGUCUCCUCUUCUGAUGUGAAAAGAACAGCCAUAUCUUCAAAUACAGCUGUUGCCUCUUCUAGAUGUGUGCUGUUUAACAACAAGGCAAAGCAAAGGACACUUGAAAUUAGUCCCCAACUGAAGUCCGUCUCCACUUGAUGGACAUGGCAUGAUGUUAUUUGACCAAGAGCCCUUAAUGUUUGCAUCAGCCAGUAUGUCAAGGUUGGAAUUGAGUGCUGAUUUGAUACAAGCUCACUAACUGGUAGUGGCGGCAUGUUUUUGCCCAUUCCUGGCAGUACAAGUGCAUAGUAGAGCACUCUUUUGGGCUGACUGGUAAUGCGGGAGAUAACGCUACCUGUGGCAUCCAGGUGAAGUGUUACUGGUUUUUUUUUUUUAAGAUGCUGGGCCAAAAUUUGUAA